ensembl:lncRNA
GUUAGGUUUUGGGUUACGCUAACGGUUAGGUUUGGGGUUUGUGUUAGGAUAAUGGUUACGAUUGGUGUAGGGUUAGGGUUAGGGUAGGGUUUGGGUUUGGGUUAGGCUUAGGGUAAGUUUAGGGUAAGGGUUUUGGUUAGGGUUAUGGUAAGGGUUAGGCUUAUUGGUUAUUAGUUGUCGGAAAAUUGGGUUAGAGUUACGUAUGUGGUAGUGUUAGGCUUAGGGUUAGGGUUAGUGUUAAUGUUAGGGUUAAAGUAAGUUUAGGGUUAGGGUUAGGGUUAGGGUUAGCAUUAUGUUCAGGGUUAGGGUUAGGGUUAGGGUAAAUUUCGGGUAAGUGUAGGGUUAGGGAUAGGGAUA